UUGCUUUCGGGAUGAAUCUUUCAGUAACAUCCAUCUAAAUCACUUUGUUGGUUCCCAUUCCUAGUAGCACACUGAUCAUAAUAAGAUGGAAGAAGG